GAUGAACGCUGGCGGCGUGCCUAAUACAUGCAAGUCGAGCGAACAGACGAGGAGUUUGCUCCUCUGACGUUAGCGGCGGACGGGUGAGUACCAUGUGGAUAACCUACCUAUAAGAAUGGGAUAAUUUCGGGAAACCGGAGCUACUACCGGAUAAUAUAUUGACCUGCAUGGUUCAAUAGCGAAAGACGGUUUUGCUGUCACUUAUAGAUGGAUCCGCGGCGCAUUAGCUAGUUGGUAAGGUAACGGCUUACCAAGGCAACGAUGCGUAGCCGACCUGAGAGGGAGAUCGGCCACACUGGAAGUGAGACACGGUCCAGACUCCUACGGGAGGCAACAGUAGGGAAUCUUCCGCGAUGGGCGAAAGCCUGACGGAGCAACGCCGCGUGAGUGAUGAAGGUCUUCGGAUCGUAAAACUCUGUUAGUAGGGGAGAAGAAAUGUGUAAGUAACUAUGCACGUCUUGACGGUACCUAAACAGAAAGCCACGGCUAACUACGUG
rnacentral:rRNA from 1 species